rnacentral:rRNA from 1 species
GAGAUCGGGAUAACACCUGGAAACAGAUGCUAAUACCGGAUAACAACAGAUGAUGCCUAUCAACUGUUUAAAAGAUGGUUCUGCUAUCACUCUUGGAUGGACCUGCGGUGCAUUAGCUAGUUGGUAGGGUAACGGCCUACCAAGGCGAUGAUGCAUAGCCGAGUUGAGAGACCGAUCGGCCACAUUGGGACUGAGACACGGCCCAAACUCCUACGGGAGGCAGCAGCA